CUCAGUAAUUUAGAGUGUGGGCUAGUCACCAUGCAAAUAUGCAAUUCACAUCAAAGGCAUCUAUUGCUAGGGGUGAAUAAAGUUGACGUACUGAUGCCAACAACACUGUCCAUACAGAGUAAGGUUAGCAGCAUAAGACAGAGUUGUAUAUAAAUAAGUUUACCAACUAGAGCACAAAAUACCUUUAUGCACCAUUCUAAUGCUAAAAAAAUUUACUCAUGGAACAUUGCAAAUUAGUGGAAAUGAAUAAGCCUCAGGGAAGGUGGUUAAGAAACCUAAUAACACUGUCUUUUGAGUCCAACAUUGCAACUAGUUGAUCACACUGUAUACACCUUUGUUACACGUAUGUGUGUAUUUGCGUUGUCGUGAUUUUUUGCCGAAAUGUUUUUCAAUAGAAAAGUUAAGGCUACAAGAAGCACAGUAGUAAGUACUGACUAUUUUUUAAUAGAGACUUAUGCACCGCUGCUGCUAUUACAAUUG